UACGGAGGGUGCAAACGUUGCUCGGAAUUAUUGGGCGUAAAGCGCACGUAGGCGGUCCCUCAAGUCGGGUGUGAAAGCCCUCGGCUUAACCGAGGAAGUGCAUUCGAAACUAAGGGACUUGAAUACUGGAGAGGAUGGCGGAAUUCCAGGUGUAGCGGUGAAAUGCGUAGAUAUCUGGAGGAACACCGGUGGCGAAGGCGGCGUUCUGGACUGCAACUGACACUGAAAAACGAAAGCCAGGGGAGCAAACGGG
rnacentral:rRNA from 1 species